rnacentral:tRNA from 1 species
GGGCGGUUCGCAUAGCGGCAAUUGCAAUGGGCUGUAAACCCAUCGUCCUUCGGACUACGGGGGUUCGAGUCCCUCACCGCCCA